rnacentral:rRNA from 1 species
AGUAAUCGCAGAUCAGCAUGCUGCGGUGAAUACGUUCCCGGGCCUUGUACACACCGCCCGUCACACCAUGGGAGUCGGUAACACCCGAAGCCUGUAGUCUGACCUUUUGGAGGACGCAGUCGAAGGUGGGAUCGAUGACUGGGGUGAAGUCGUAACAAGGUAUC